GUGCCCGCUUCAACAGCACAUAUACUAAAAUUGGAAUGGUACAGAGAAGAUUAGCAUGGCCCCUGCACAAGGAUGACACACAAAUUCGUGAAGUGUUCCAUAUUUAA
ensembl:snRNA U6 U6 spliceosomal RNA